UGGAGAUUGUUCAUAUAGAUAAACAAUAGCUGCCAAAGCAUAUUUUUGAAUGAUCAAAUAAUGGCUUGGCUAGUCACCAAGUCAUCAUCAGAAGUUGGACCUCCUUUUGCUCUGGGGAGAAUAAAAAGGAACAGAUCUCUCCCUCAGACAUCACAUCCUUCUUCAGCAAUCCUUCGAUUCUCCUGUGGUGCUGCACUACUAAAGGUAAUUUAUUAGAAAUCAACUCUGAUUCAACCUUAAGCUUCAAUAUACUUCAAAAAGUGAUGGAGGAUUUUUCAAGAUGUCAAAUCUUUUUCGUCAACAGAAUCAUUCAAGAUGAAAACCUUCAUUCUGAUCGCUUGCAUCCUGGGGACUGCUCUCGGCCGCCCAGUGAGUUCACUUCUCCGUUGUAUUAUUUAUAAGCUUACUGUGUUGUCUUUCUUAUUUUAUGUUUCUCUGUUAUUCUGUACAAAAUACCUGUGGAAGCAAGUAGCCUAGUUGUUAGAGCAUUGGGCCAAUAACCGAAAGGUUGCAAGAUCGAAUCCCCAAGCUGACAAAGUAAAAAUCUGUCAUUCUGCACCUGAAUAAGGCAGUUAACCUGCUGUCAUUGAAAAUAAGAAUUUGUUCUUAACUGACUUGCCAAGUUAAAUAAUGAAAAUGUUUUAAAGUUUUUCUUUCAUAUACAAAUAAAUGGAUUGGAAACAUUUACAAACAGUAUUCAUAUAUUUACUCAUUAUGUACUGUGAUUACAGUGUCUUUAUAAGUGUUCAACCUAACAUUCAUCUAAUAUUCAUCUGUACUUCACAGCAAAGGCUGGUCAUGGAGUUUGACUUCCAGGCUGCCAAUGCUCAGGCUCUCCGAGCUGGACAAGCCAGACCUGAUCUAGAGAUUAUCCUUCCUGUUGGUGGUGGAGUACCUUCGGGUGGUUUCAUCAAACAGGAGAUCCCCCAGCCACUCGGCCAGGAGAGCGUUGAGAUCUACCACCCCUUCUUCAUUCAGGUUGCCCCUCCUGCUCCUGCUUCACCUGCCCAUACUCAUACAUCCGAUGAGGAAGAUGAAUAGAGAUAUUACCAAUACUUGGAGAUCUACAAUACCCUUCGAUGAAACAACGAUGUCCUUCAACUCCACAGCUGCUCUUAGUGUCCUAGAUUGAUUCAGUAAAUGCAUUGCUUAACCCAGCAAUUAACAUAGAGUAACAUGGUGCUGAACCGAUUGCUUGAUGCAUGAAAGCUGUGUGUAAUUGUUUGUACCUGGCAGAAUAAUGUUAAUAAAACCCCCAGAAUGUUUUGCCAACCUUCUCCAUACCAUGCCUCAAUUUUAUUUCUUGUCUCUGCUUGUUAGUCUGUGGCAUUGAUGACAUUCAAUGAUUUUCAGUUCUUCUCAAUUGCGUACACAUUUUUGUAACAAUGUCAUUUUUCUAGACAGUGUACACAAGACACAAAACUCAAUGUCGUAAAUUUUCCAAAUGUUGUUACUUUCUUGAAACAGCAAAU
rnacentral:lncRNA from 8 species